GAGUUAUUUACCACAGAUGUUUCUGAAAGGAAAACUACAGUGUAAUAUAAAUGAUAUUCUAACCAUCUGAUUACAAGCAAGAAUAAAUUUCUAAAGCCUCGAUUCAGGCUACUUUGUUUAUGCAACUGUAAAAAGAAGCAUAUUAACAACAACAAAAAGAACAAAACCACUUUCAACUUGAAUCUCCAACACUACAAUCAAGUGCACUGUCAAUAUGCCAGAUGCAAGCACCACCUGAGCCAUAGAAAAAGUUUUUGGUUAUUUUUACUGCUAAAUUGAAAGAGGAUUACCUUGCAGAAGUCUGCCUCCUUUAUAAAGAUGAAUGGCCAGAGCCGCUUCAAACUUCUCUGCAGAGAUUAGAUUUGCUAUUUCAGAUGGGUUCUCAUAGCCAGAAG